AGAAACUUAGGAUAAAUUAGACCAAGGGCCUUCAAAGCCCCAAGUAGAAGUUAAAAUCUUCUAGUUUCUG
rnacentral:tRNA from 1 species